UGCGAGUCGAGAGGGUUCGGCCCUCGGCAGACUGCUCAGUAACACGUGGAUAACCUAACCUUAGGUGGAAGAUAACCUCGGGAAACUGAGAAUAAUAUUCCAUAGAUCUAGGAUGCUGGAAUGCAUCUAGAUUGAAAGUUCCGACGCCUAAGGAUGGGUCUGCGGACUAUCAGGUUGUAGUCAGGGUAAAGACCUGACUAGCCUACGACGGAUAUGGGUUGUGAGAGCAAUAGCCCAGAGACGAUAUCUGAGACACGAUAUCGGGCCCUACGGGGCGCAGCAGGCGCGAAAUCUUCACAAUGUGCGAAAGCACGAUGAGGGGAUCCCAAGUGCUGGCACGUAAGUGUCAGCUGUUUCUUAGUCUAAAAAACUGAGAGAGUAAGGGCUGGGUAAGACGGGUGCCAGCCGCCGCGGUAAUACCUGCAGCUCAAGUGGUGGCCGCUAUUAUUGGGCCUAAAACGUCCGUAGCCUGUUUAGUAAAUGCUUGGGUAAAUUGUGUAGCUUAACUAUACGAAUACCGGGUAGACUGCUAAACUUGGGACCGGGAGAGGCUAGAGGUACUCCUGGGGUAGAGGUGAAAUUCUGUAAUCCUAGGGGGACCACCAGUGGCGAAGGCGUCUAGCUAGAACGGGUCUGACGGUGAGGGACGAAGCCCUGGGGCGCAAACCGGAUUAGAUACCCGGGUAGUCCAGGGUGUAAACGCUGCUUGCUUGAUGUUAGUUGGGCUCCGAGCCCAACUAGUGUCGGAGAGAAGUUGUUAAGCAAGCUGCCUGGGAAGUACGGUCGCAAGACUGAAACUUAAAGGAAUUGGCGGGGGAGCAC
rnacentral:rRNA from 1 species